UAAGAACAACACUCAGGUCUUGAUCAAUUGCCGUAACAACAGGAAACUCCUUGGGCGAGUUAGAGCGUUUGACAGGCACUGCAACAUGGUUCUUGAAAAUGUCAGAGAAAUGUGGACUGAGGUCCCGAAAACUGGAAAAGGAAAGAAGAAAGCUCUUCCUGUCAACAAAGAUCGAUUCAUCAGCAAGAUGUUCCUGCGUGGAGACUCUGUCAUUAUCGUCCUCAGGAACCCCAAGUGAGAGUAAUUGAGAUGGCUGGCUCGUCGUUGUUCUUCAUAUGAUAAUUCUCGCUUCUUUUUGUUAAAUUCUAAUUGUUGCUUCAACGGAUAAACAUGUUUUGAUUACGAGCCUUAAAUCUAGUAGUAUUGUCUAGUAUUUUUCACUUGUUCUA